GACGAACGCUGGCGGCGUGCUUAACACAUGCAAGUCGAACGAAGUGACGAAGGGGUGAGUAAUGCGUGGGUAACCUGCCCUCCCUUAUGGGAUAAGCCUUGGAAACGGUGUCUAAUACCGACUACGGGGGGAUGUGUUCGUGAUGUAUCAGCUUGUUGUGGAUGUGGUGGCUUACCAAGGCGAUGACGGGUAGCCGGCCUGAGAGGGUGACCGGCCACAGUGGGACUGAGAUACGGCCCAGACUCCUACGGGAGGCAGCAGUGGGGGAUAUUGCACAAUGGGCGAAAGCCUGAUGCAGCGACGCCGCGUGUGGGAUGAAGGCCUUCGGGUUGUAAAGUACUUUCAGCGAGGAGGCGUUACUCGCAGAAGAAGCACCGGCUAACUCCGUGCCAGCAGCCGCGGUAAUUC
rnacentral:rRNA from 1 species